GCCAGCCUCUCCUCCAGCUGGGCUAGGCUGCCCUGUGCCACAGUCUGCUGUGGAAUGCCAUCAAAGAACAUGACCAAAUUCUUCUGGAGAGCCUCAGAAGAAAUGGAGUGUUUUGCUUCACACUCCCAGUGUCUCCACUUUGCAGUUGGGGAAUGGAACAUGGAAAGAGAGCCUUGCCCAGGGUCAUGCAGGAAAUGCUUUGGGAAUGAUAGCAUCCUGCACAUCUUAGCUGUACAGCAGCCUUCUCCUGUGUAUUUGCUUCACAGGGCAAUAACAGGCAGUCUCUUCCAAGUUCUUCAGAACCACAGCACAGUGAAGCUCCCAAGAGGUCUGCAGUGACCAGACAACCCAUAAUGCCAGACAGGAGUGAGCCCAGACGGAGCACUGCCACCACUGCAGGGCAAACACCACCCACUGAAAAGCUGCUGAGGCAAUAAAAACCUUACCGAACCCUC